AUGAGCUUGAAAAUUGAGCAUCACCUCACACUCCUUGGACACUAGCUAUCCCGUGAACUGAACAUGGGUUCGAGCUCAAGCCUGGUGCCAGUGGCUUCUGCGCUGCUCCUCUUGUCCUACCUCAUCGCUGGGAACAAUGGUGUUGCUGCUGCUGGAACUAGCACUAGCAGUGAUGAUCUGAAGCUGAACUACUACUCCGAGAGCUGCCCGAGAGCGGAGGAGAUCGUCAAGGAGCAGGUGAAGAGCCUCUACGAGGAGCACGGCAACACGGCGGUGUCGUGGCUCAGGGCGCUCUUCCACGACUGCACCGUCAAGUCCUGCGACGCGUCGCUGCUCCUCGAGACCGACGCCGCCGCGGGGCUCAUCUCCGAGAAGUCCUCCACGCGGAGCUUCGGCAUGCGGAACUUCAAGUACAUCGACGCCAUCAAGUCCGCCCUGGAGCGCGCGUGCCCGGGCACCGUCUCCUGCGCCGACCUGCUCGCCCUCGCCGCCCGCGACGGCGCCGCCAUGCUCGGCGGGCCCGCCGACAUCCCGAUGCGCACGGGCCGGCGCGACGCCACCGAGAGCCACUACGGCGAGGUGGAGAGCUACAUCCCGAACCACAACGAGUCCGUGUCGGCGGUGCUGGACCGGUUCGCGUCCAUGGGCGUGGACGCCGAGGGCGUCGUGGCGCUCCUGGGCGCGCACUCCGUCGGCCGCGUCCACUGCUUCAACCUCGUUGCGCGGCUCUACCCGGCGGUGGACGGCACCAUCGAGCCGGCGUACGGCGCGUACCUCCGGGGCCGGUGCCCGACGGCGGAUGCAAAGGAGGACACGCGCGACGUGGCGUACGCGCGGAACGACCGCGUCACCCCCAUGGUGCUCGACAACAUGUACCACAAGAACCUCCUGAAAGGCAGGGGCCUCCUGCUGGUGGACCAGAGGCUCGCCACCGACCCGCGAACCGCGCCGUUCGUGAGGAAGAUGGCGGCGGACAACGCCUACUUCCACGACGUUUUCGCGGCGGCGCUGGUCAAGAUGUCGGAGAACGGCCCGCUCACCGGCGACCACGGCGAGGUCAGGAAGGACUGCAGGUUCGUCAACAAGUAAGUUAGCUAAUGGACAUCACGAUCGAUGAACUAACUCACCGAGGUACUGGCUUGUGGCUUGUGGUAAUCAUAAACGUAUACUGAAUGUGCGCGUGUCUUAGUGCUGAUUGAUGUGGCAAUAAUUCAGAAGAAAUGAAAUGAACAUGCUGCUUGUACUUUCAGAAAAUGGCAAACACUCAUAGAAAAAACUCUGGGACACCCAAAACAGGCACGCCAGUAUGGCAGAUAUUGAGAUGUUAAUGAAUUAUCGUGUAUUCAA